GACGUAGGUGGCGAACGUUAUCCGGAUUUAUUGGGCGUAAAGAGCUCGUAGGCGGCUCGCCGCGUCGACCGUGAAAACCCGCGGCUUAACUGCGGGCUUGCGGUUGAUACGGGCGGGCUAGAGUUCGGUAGGGGAGACUGGAAUUCCUGGUGUAGCGGUGAAAUGCGCAGAUAUCAGGAGGAACACCGGUGGCGAAGGCGGGUCUCUGGGCCGAUACUGACGCUGAGAAGCGAAAGCAUGGGGAGCGAACAGG
rnacentral:rRNA from 1 species